AUUGAACGCUGGCGGCAGGCCUAACACAUGCAAGUCGAGCGGGGUUUUCGGACCUAGCGGCGGACGGGUGAGUAAUGCGUAGGAGGCUGCCCGAUAGAGGGGGAUACCAGUUGGAAACGACUGUUAAUACCGCAUAAUGUCUACGGACCAAAGUGUGGGACCUUCGGGCCACAUGCUAUCGGAUGCGCCUACGUGGGAGUAGCUAGUUGGUGAGGUAAUGGCUCACCAAGGCGACGAUCUCUAGCUGGUUUGAGAGGAUGAUCAGCCACACUGGAACGGAGACGCGGGCCAGACUCCUACGUGAGGCAGCAGUGGGGAAUAUUGGACAAUGGGCGCAAGCCUGAUCCAGCCAUGCCGCGUGUGUGAAGAAGGCCUUCGGGUUGUAAAGCACUUUCAGCGAGGAGGAAGGGUGGUGUGUUAAUAGCACAUCAUUUUGACGUUACUCGCAGAAGAAGCACCGGCUAACUCUGUGCCAGCCGCCGCCGUAACAC
rnacentral:rRNA from 1 species